UACAGAGGUCUCAAGCGUUGUUCGGAUUCAUUGGGCGUAAAGGGUGCGUAGGUGGCGCCGUAAGUCAGGUGUGAAAUUUCGGAGCUUAACUCCGAAACUGCAUUUGAUACUGCGGUGCUUGAGGACUGGAGAGGAGACUGGAAUUCACGGUGUAGCAGUGAAAUGCGUAGAUAUCGUGAGGAAGACCAGUGGCGAAGGCGGGUCUCGUGGACAGUUCCUGACACUGAGGCACGAAGGCCAGGGGAGCAAACGGG
rnacentral:rRNA from 1 species